rnacentral:rRNA from 1 species
GACGUAGGGCGCGAGCGUUGUCCGGAUUUAUUGGGCGUAAAGAGCUCGUAGGCGGCUUGUCGCGUCGACUGUGAAAACCCGCGGCUCAACCCCGAGCCUGCAGUCGAUACGGGCAGACUAGAGUGCUGUAGGGGAGACUGGAAUUCCUGGUGUAGCAGUGAAUGCGUAGAGAGUGUGGAGGAACACCGAUGGCGAAGGCAGCCCCCUGGGCGUGAGCAUUGA